UGGGGAAUAUUGCACAAUGGGCGCAAGCCUGAUGCAGCCAUGCCGCGUGUAUGAAGAAGGCCUUCGGGUUGUAAAGUACUUUCAGCGGGGAGGAAGGCGAUAAGGUUAAUAACCUUGUCGAUUGACGUUACCGCAGAAGAAGCACCGGCUAACUCCGUGCCAGCAGCCGCGGUAAUAACGGGGGUGCAAAGCGUUAAUCGGAAUUACUGGGCGUAAAGCGCAACGCAGGCGGUCCUGUCAAAGUCGGAUGUGAAAAUCCCCCGGGCGUCAAACCU
rnacentral:rRNA from 1 species